rnacentral:rRNA from 1 species
AGAUUGAACGCUGGCGGCGUGCCUAACACAUGCAAGUCGAGCGGUAACAGGUGUAGCAAUACAUGCUGACGAGCGGCGAACGGGUGAGUAAUGCUUUGGAAUCUUCCCAGUAGUGGGGAAUAACCAGUCGAAAGAUUGGCUAAUACCGCAUACGUCUGUAAAGGGAAAGCGGGGGCUCGUAAGACCUCGCGCUAUUGGAUGAGCCAAAGUCGGAUUAGCUAGUUGGUGGGGUAAUGGCCUACCAAGGCGACAAUCCGUAGCUGGUCUGAGAGGACGACCAGCCACACCGGAACUGAGACACGGUCCGGACUCCUACGGGAGGCAGCAGUGGGGAAUAUUGGACAAUGGGGGAAACCCUGAUCCAGCGACGCCGCGUGUGUGAAGAAGGCCUGCGGGUUGUAAAGCACUUUUAGUGGGGACAAAAAGCUACGGACUAAUAUUCUGUGGUCUUGAUUUAACCCAAAGAAAAGCACCGGCUAACUCUGCGCCAGCAGCCGCGGUAA